CCUCGGUCAGAGCGCUUCACUGGAGCAUAGCGUGGGGGAAUGGCUGCUGAUAACACCGUGUCCAUCCCAGCCAUCCCCACAAACUUUCCUGGAGGAACCCACACCACCGGAGGGGACUGCAGUGGCUCACAACCUCACCCGACCCCAAAGGGCAGCGAUGCAGAUGGCAGUGGAAAAAUCAGGUCAGCGUGCUUUGGAAAGAGCUGAAGGUCAGAGGGAUCUCCUCCAAACCAUCUCUUUGCUGCUUUUGGAUGCUAGGAGAAACCAACUCUGCAUAGAAGCUCUUGGCACAAGGCAGGACCAAGGUUGCCCUGAGAUGCUCUGAGGAAUCGAACUCUUUCACUGCUCAUGCUUUGGCUUUGUUUUCCCUAAGCAGCCGCACAGACGUGCCUGGGAUGGAAGUCAGACAUGGUCUGAAUAGACACGAGGAAUUCAAGCUGGGAAAGUCAGACCCUGUGCACAAAGCAGGAAUUGGAAAGCAGAGCCACUCAGUCCCUGUGUUGCCUUCUUGCUGCCAUGGGCAUCUUCUAAAGACCUCAUCCUUUCACCAGAUGGUCCUUCGGCCCAUCAGGAGACACACGACCCUCCAAGAUGGGUGUCAGCUCCCGAUUUCUUCUGCUCCUGGCUGUUGGAAAGGCAUCCCUGUAUGCUCAUCACUUUCUCCAUUUACAAGUUCUUUCUCUAAACUCCCCAGCCAGGAUCUGGCUCUGUCUCCUCCAUCACCAGCACUGCCCAUCCAUCUGCAAGGGGCUGGAAGCAUCAGGGUAAGCUGGGAGGCUCAGAUGUGAAUGCAGCCCCAGGUUGCUCAACUUUCUUCUCUUUCCCAAGUUUCUUCUCAGUCCCAGGUUUGGUCUCAGCUCAAGGCAGAAAGAAGGGUGAAGCAGCAAGAUUUGGAUCAGACCCAAUUUUAGGCACGGAGUUGUUCCCAGUAACAUUCCUUCCUGCAAACCAGAGUGCCGGUUCAAAGCAGAUGGGUUGGUAGCACUCCCAAAUUCCUCGUUGUGCUGGAAUUUAUGCAAAACGUAUAGAAUUAAUGAGUGCAGGGGAAAGGCACUUGGACCGUCCUCACGUUCCUGACCUCUGUGCCACCGCUCCACUCUGCUGUAUGUCACCCAGUGCUCUCCCCAGACAAUGUCCCAUUGAUUGCCCAAGGGGAUCAUGGCACUGGGGGGGCCGUGCUGAUGCUCUGCAGCGUGGCUGGGCACUGCUGGGCUGUUGGGAACACAUUGCACAAUGCCCAGCCUGUGUCUGUUGGUGCAUCACCAACACAGUGUCACAGGGGGCAACACAAGGGUCUCAUGGUGCAGGGGCACAGACAUGCCUUUCUCAGGACGAUGAGAGUCAUUGAUUUAUUCCCUUUUCACACUGGAAACAGAAUGCCCUUUAAAAAGAAAGCUUGAGCAGCGCUGCCCCCCUCUCACCCUGCUGCAAACCCUGAGCUCACCGUGAGUGAUGUGACCCAUCUGGAGGAGACCCCAGCCCCUUGCUUCCAGAGCAUCCAUCAGAACCUCUUCCCAUGGGCAGUGUCCCUAGAUUCCUAUUUUUCAGCUGAGUCCGGGGGGAAGAAAAGCUCAAUCAAGAAACUCCUGGCCCAGCUGCAGUUUGCAGUGCAGGGCAGGAACCCAGGCAUUGCUGAGCAAGGUACCAGCAUGGCCAUGGGAUGCAUGGCAGCUCUGAGGGCUGGGAUCCCCGUCCCUAUUCUGUCCCCAGGGCCAUGCAGGGGCUUUGCUCAUCCCAGCUGCCCUGUGCCACGCAGGGAUGCUGCUUGAUUGUGUUUUACUUAACCUUCAAUACCAUGUUAUUUCUAUUUAAGCCUCAUUCCAAAACAGAGCCUAUAAGCGAUAACAGAGCAAACAGACCUUCUGUCCCCUCUCCCUCCCUUAGGAAAUAUUUUUAGCUCUCGUAAACACAAACCAUUUAAGCACUUGAGAGCAUCCCAAGGGAUGCAGCCUUCCUCUCCAUCCUUUGCAGCCUACAGCACAACCCCAAAUCACACCCUGAUUUCUGGGCUCAGGCACCAUUGCAGGCACAGCUCUGCAAAGCAGGCGCUAAACUGGGAGUUACUUUCAAAGGAAACCCAAAGGAAGAAGCUGUUCAGAGCUCAGCUAGCUUUCCCACAAUGUCUCAUAGCUCUGAAAACAUUUCGUCCCUGUUGCUCCUGCUCCCACAUGCAGUGCAGGAGAUGCUGAGCAGGUGACUGGUGAGCACCAAAAUGCAUCUCUCCAACAUCUGCUCCCAGCUUUGGACGGAAUCACUGCACUUCUCACCAAGUGUUCCUAAAAAUUCAUGGAAAAUUCAUCCAUAGAGUGUGCUGAGCACAAGAUGUCCCCAGAAAUAGGGACAGCCAAGAAAAGGUUGGAGGAAGCCACCAGUGCUGGGAAAGGAAACUGGGAAAUGCUUUGAUGAGAGCACAUAUGGUGCGUGCUUGGAUGCAGCAGUCCGCCAAAGAAGCUGGGGACUGGGACAUGGUUUGGGACAGAAAGAGACUGUGGGAUCUGGGGUGGCUUUGCAGAGCUUGGCUGGCUGGGGAGCUGCAGCCUGGGGAAGGGGCUCAGUGGCACUCGGAUGGAGCGAGAUCAGAGCUGGGCUCACAUCCAAGGUUCAGGGCAGGGCACAACUGCAAAUUUCCCAAGCUACCCAAGCUCCUGGGCCUGCAGCUCUGCAGCCUCCUGGGAUCAGAUUCCCAUAAUGGAUUCCCAGCUGCAAAGAUAGAAAGCAUCCCAAAAGGGGCAAAGUACCAUCUGCUGAGCAGCCUCGUUCUCAGGCUAUUUGGGGUAUUUUUAUUUCUGAAGAAAGCAGAGAGCCAGGAGGAAUUUCACCCUGAUUCCAAACUCCUGUUUUCCUUCUCCCUUCCCCUGCAGUGAUGCAACCCCAUCCAACAGUAGCAGCUCUUCCCGCCAUCCUGUCCCCAAAUCCCUCUUGCUGUGAAAGCAUCCCAUUGCCAUCACGUGCAAAAGGGCACAAACUUGUGCUCUGCUUUCUCCCUCCGUUAGGCAUGUCUAGAAGUGAUUUUCCCAGUUCAACCCAGUAAGUGACUUAAGGCAUCCAUGGAAUGUGCCAGGUGGUCCCUUUGGUCUGUGGAUGCAUUUGGUUUUAGUCAGGGCCACAGGAGCCAUCUGAGUGCUUCCUCUGAGCGUGCCAUGAGCAGCCCCAAUGCUGAACUAAUGUUAUCUUAGCAAAUGGCUUUGUUAUGGCUGGGGGAUUCCUUCAGGGGCAGUUUUUAAUCUCGCAAAGCAGCAAUCCUGAUGCAGGGGGAAGUCUUUCAUUAUCGGCUCUGAGGGGCUCUCAGAUGGGAGAUUAGGGGAAAGGCACACGAAUCCCAUUCCCAAAGAAGGAAAACGUGGAGUCUCUUUGCUGAGGUGUGGGAAUGCCUGGGGGAUGCUCGGUGCAGCUCCAACCACAUGAAUGCCAUCACAUCCACAGCAGCACCACCUCUCCUUUACUCUUUUUGUUUCAUCCCCACCCAACCCACCACACCGUGCCCACUGCCCACAUCCUUCAGUGCCACAUCCCUACAGCUCUGCAACACCCCCAGGAAUGGUGAUACCCCCACCUCCCCUGGGCAGCUGUGUGAUGCAGCACUGCUCUCCUCCCCAGAAACUGAAACUGGUCCUUGGAAAGAAGCAGAGGAGCAGACAAAGGGCUGAAUCCUGAGGAUGUGAAGUGCUUUGCGUAUCCCCUGCAGCCAGCCAGCCUCUGCUACAGCAAAGCAAUGGAAUUUCUUGCAAACGUCCUGAUCUAUCUGAUAUUUUCCUGACCUAUCCCCAAAAAGCCAGUCCUAAUGUCUAGAACAAGGAGGACACGGCUGCACCUGCAUCUCCUAACCUACUGGCAUCCAUUGGCUGCAUCCAUCCGUCUCCCUGUGCUUUAUCAACAUCUCCAGCCUCUGUGCCACGAGGGGAAUGUCAUCGGGUUUUUAUCUCCUUUCUGCUCUGGGCUUAUCAGUGAUUUGUUUAAUUCGAGUUUAUGGCUUCCCUUGUUCAUUUUGUCACUCGGUUUCCUCAAUCCCGAUGGCUGCCGAAAGGAGACAAUGAAAUUUUAA